rnacentral:rRNA from 1 species
UACGUAGGGGGCAAGCGUUGUCCGGAUUUCUUGGGCGUAAAGCGCGUGUAGGCGGCCAGAUAGGUCUGCUGUGAAAACUCGAGGCUCAACCUCGAGCUGUCGGCGGAAACCAUCUGGCUAGAGUCCGGAAGAGGAGAGUGGAAUUCCUGGUGUAGCGGUGAAAUGCGCAGAUAUCAGGAGGAACACCCGUGGCGAAAGCGGCUCUCUGGGACGGUACUGACGCUGAGGCGCGAAAGCUAGGGGAGCAAACAGG